GAUGCCCUUAGAUGUUCUGGGCCGCACGCGCGCUACACUGAUGAAUUCAACGAGCCUACAACCUUGGCCGAAAGGUCUGGGUAAUCUUUGAAAUUUCAUCGUGAUGGGGAUAGAUUAUUGCAAUUAUUAAUCUUCAACGAGGAAUGCCUAGUAAGCGCGAGUCAUCAGCUCGCGUUGAUUACGUCCCUGCCCUUUGUACACACCGCCCGUCGCUACUACCGAUUGAAUGGCUCAGUGAGGCCUUGGGAUUGGCUUAGGAGGGUUGGCAACGACCCCCCAGAGCCGAAAACUUGGUCAAACUCGGUCAUUUAGAGGAAGUAAAAGUCGU
rnacentral:rRNA from 1 species